GGGCCCAUAGCUCAACUGGGAGAGCGCAGCGUUCGCAAUGCUGAGGUUAGGGGUUCGAUCCCCCUUGGGUCCACCA
rnacentral:tRNA from 3 species